AUUGCCAAUAAUUCUAGUAGAAUAUUAUGUCAAAACCAACUGUGAGCCAAAAAAAAAAUGUAUUUUUAGAAUUAUAUGAAAAAAAUUAUUUCUAACUAUAACUUACAUAUAUCACCAAUUAUUUCCAGAUUUGAUCACAGGUCUGAAAGGCAUUUUCUCCCAGUAACUCAAUUGUCUGAACUAGGAUGUCAUCACUGAGCUCGUCAAGCAUCGGAUCCAUGACAAAGGGUCAAACUUAAUUAAUUUAUACAUGUAAACAGGUACUAGUAUAGGUAGAGAUUCAGAAAAUCAACUACUUUUUAGGUACCAGUGGUUAUGUAAGAAUUUUAAGUAAAGCAUCGGUACAUGUAUUACUUUGCCUAAUAUAUCAAAGACCUAUAACUCAUAGAUGCUUCUUUAUAAAAAGCCUGCCAAUUUCAACUCAGUAUCAUCAGACUCAUCAAAGGGGAAUAACUCAUUCAUCAGUGACUAUAGUCAAAGAAAGAUAACUCGUACAUAUUACAUGUACUGGUGAACUAUAAAUUCAAAAGUGCAGCUUUCAUAUUUGGUAUUUCAACACUAUAGAUAUUCAUAGAAAAAAUUGAAUCGUCAAGUAAUUGACAAAUAUAACUCAUGUUGCAGCUGAUGUCCUAGGACUUCAAUAAAGAUAAAAUAUUUUAAUAAUUGUGUUACCGGUAAAUAUAUAUACAUGUGUAUAUAUAUAUCAGUUUAAUCUUCACCAUGAAUUAAAAUUUUGGCAUUUUUCAGACCCUGGAGAUAAUAACAGCUGGAAAGUUACUACUAUCACAGUCAGCUUAGAAUCUACGGACUGUGUAUUGGGAGACCCUGGAGAUGAUAACAGCUGGAAAGUUACUCUAUCACAGCCAGCUUAGAAUCUACGGACUGUUUAUUGGGAGAUACCCAUUGGCCACACUGGAAGUCCACUGUUGCUACACCAGAAUCGUUGCUUUUGUACAUUAUAA